CGUGUAUGAAGAAGGCCUUCGGGUUGUAAAGUACUUUCAGCGGGGAGGAAGGGAGUAAAGUUAAUACCUUUGCUCAUUGACGUUACCCGCAGAAGAAGCACCGGCUAACUCCGUGCCAGCAGCCGCGGUAAUACGGAGGGUGCAAGCGUUAAUCGGAAUUACUGGGCGUAAAGCGCACGCAGGCGGUUUGUUAAGUCAGAUGUGAAAUCCCCGGGCUCAACCUGGGAACUGCAUCUGAUACUGGCAAGCUUGAGUCUCGUAGAGGGGGGUAGAAUUCCAGGUGUAGCGGUGAAAUGCGUAGAGAUCUGGAGGAA
rnacentral:rRNA from 1 species